ACAGGAGAGGAACUCGUGGGGCUGGAUCAAGGGGAGAAAGAUUGGAGGAAGCCAAUGGAGCCCAAAUACUUUGACAGUCUGAUUUUACUUCUUUACUGAAAAAACUAAGAUGAUCAUAUUUAAAUGAUCCUCUUGGUCUGUUUCUUCAUCUAUAAAAUAAGGAGGGUAGAGAUCUGUAAAAUUUUCUCUACGUCUUUCAUUGUGUAAGUCAAUUUUUCUAUGAGACUUGGAACCAAAAAUACCUUCUAAAAUGAUUUCUGAUCAUCAGUACUUAUUUUAUCUUCCUGUUUCUGCUGAGCAUCCAGAAUUGGCCAUUCUACCCAUAAACUUCAGCAUCUGCAAGGGAAGUAAUAUGUUCUGUGAUUUGCCCAGGGCUGGAUAACCUUUUGGUCCCAGACUGACCUUGAGGGUGACCUCGAGGAUCCCAAUUCUAGCUCUACUGUAUUUAUACCAUACCCAUUCUCUCCUUAUGUUUACCUAGGGCGAGUUUCCUGCUUUAUUCUCUUUGACUCAAAUACGUGCUGAGACCCAAUUAUGAAAACUCAAUUUUGUCUCCAAGGCUUACUUCCCUGGAGCAAGUUGAAUGUCCCCUCCAGAGCUAUGCAUGUGGUGGAGCUUUACUUCUCACCUAUCCCAGUAGCAGCACAUUACUAUUGCUCCUGCCCCACCACUGCUCACAAAGGGACUCCCUUGACUUCCAGAAGAAAUAGCUGCUAUAAAAUGGAUCACUCAUUCAUAAGGAACUAUGUGUUUAUUCAUAUAUAUUUUAUAUCAUAACAAAUGUAAAUUAAUUUCAGGGUGUGACUACCCAAGCUAGUAUCUAUAUGGCUGCCUGUAUAAAAUUUCUCCCUCAAAAUUCUCCAAACCAUCUGGCAUAAACUACUCUAUUGUGACCUGUUAAAAUAAGUAACAGCUGUGAUAAUCCCUCUCGAUUUAUAGCAAGCUAUAAAACUUUGCAUAUACCGGCAAUGAAUAUAAAAUAAUAAAUAAAACCAUUAUCAUUCUGUGCUGUCUUGGUGGGAAUUAUGAUGAUUUAGCCAAAAUGGAGCCCUAUAGAAUGCAUCAGAGGAGAAGAUUAAGCAAAGGUUUUGCCCAACCUGGCCUCCUCUAGCCCCCAAAGACUAACCUCACUACAUAGAAUUCCUGGAUAUGUUUGAAAACCUUAUCCAAUGUAAAUGCAUCCUUUCUGAAAAAACAUGGUUCCCAUACAUUGCUGCCCAACUUCUACUAUUUCAAAGCCUCCUUUUCUGAUGGUGGGUUUCCAAAAUUGCACAGUAUAUCCAGACCAUAAAGAAAAAGCAAGCUAUGCACAACUCAAAAAUGUGAAUAAUCUAUAGCACCAAAGCUAAUAAUUGUCUUGGAAUUUUUAACUGUAAGUUUAUGUUUGCAAACAUUGCAAAGAUCCCAGGUUGAAAAAUAUUGUAUUGAAGUCAUCUCUCAAAGAUAUGCAAUAUGUGAAAAAAGACAGGCUGGUAUCUGGAAGGGAAAGGGGUGGGACAGCUUUGAUUCUGAAUGAAAGAAUCACUAUGCCCACUACACACCGAUUUCACAAAAUUAAGGGGUCAAGGAAGGAAACUAGCACCAUGAAAUGGCUCUUUACUAGGUUCUGGGCAUUACCCCAUAAUCUUAUUUAAUCCUCACAACAGAUAUGUGCCUUAGGUAUUAUUAUUCCUGUUUUAUGGUGAGGAAAUUGAUGUUCAGACAGGUUAAAUAACUUGCCCAAGGCCAUCCAACUAACAAGUUGGAGAGAUGGAGUUUGAACACAGGUCUGUCUGAUUUUAAGAUUCAUGCUCUUUCCACCUCACUACACUGUCUCUUGGGCAGCUGUUCAAAACCUUUUUCUUUCAUGACCCAUGAUAUUUACAUGAACCACUCAUUAUCAUAACCAUGGGAAAUUCCCACCCCCUUUUCUCCCAUUUAUUUGAAUACAAGGAGAGUUACCCUACUAUUGGAAGAACUUCAAAUCCAUUUUAAUUUAUGUGUAUAAAAAUUUGCAAAUACAGGUGCUUCGUUAUUACGGUAGAUUUCAAAAAAUAGCCAUGGUGCUUUUCAGCUCUUCCCAGCAAGAUAUGGAGUCUAUUUCUCCACCUUGAAUCUGAGCAGGCCUUAUGACCUGAUUUGGCCAGAAGAAUGCGGUGGAAGUGACAUUGUACAUGUCUGAGCCUGGGCCUCAAGAAGCCUUGCAACUUCUGCUUCUGCUGAUCUUGGCACCUGCCCUGCUUACUGCUGCUCAUGAAGAAGCCUGGCCCAGCCUGUUGGAUGAUGAGGUACAGGUGGCCCAGUUGUCCCCUACCCCCAUCUUGGUCUGCUAAUCACCAGACAUGAAUAAGGCCACUCUAGGUCAUUCAGCCCCAGCUGACUAUAGACACAUAAGCAAACUCCACAGAGCUUAACUGAGCCAUCCCAGACCAGAACCACCCACUAAAUUUUAAGCCACUAAGUACUGGGUGACUUUUUAUGCAGAAAAGGCUAACUAAUGCCGUUCUUUAAAAUAAAUUUCUGGCCAUAUGUCAAAACAGGUACUAAUGGUUAAAGAUUAUUGGUUUGAGCACAAGGAUCAUAAACUAAAGACUUAAAAAAAAAAAAGGUAAAUCCUUUCUGAUGGCUCCAAAUACUGUCGCUGCUCAAGGUCUUCACAAUACUUCAAUAUGCCCCAUGAAAGUGCCAGUUCGGAAAGGAUUCCUAUGGAUACAGUUCCAGAAGACCACCUUUCCUCCUCCAAUCCUGGGCUUGGCAGCUUGAUUUUGGGUGAUAUGGUUUGGGGGAAAGAAUCACCAAGGUGAAUGGCUCAGAGCCUCCCUCAAGAAACAAUCAGUGGAUGGAAGGAAGAGAAAAAGAGAUGAUGUGUUUAAAGACUGCUAAUGCCAAUGCAUGACCCCUAGAAAUCCAUCACUGAAAUUAAAAAGUAAUGCUGUGGGCCAAGAAGAACUAUGAUUUGUUAGAAUAUGGGGUCAGUUUUGUAUUUAACAACAAUAGUCAUGCUGUCUUCCUAAGAAGAUAAGGUAUGCAAAGACACAGGUGGGAGAGAGGGAAAGAGAUGUCCACCCUCCCUUUCCACACACUUGGGAAAUGUACAGAUGGAGACUCUCAAAAGGAAGGAAAGAAUGCUGUAAUUAUAAACCAAAUUAGGGCCAAAUUGAACUAUCUGAGAAAGGAAGUUACAACUAAGUACUUAAAGCAGUGUUCUCAACCUUGACUGUAUGUUGGAAUUUCAGCACAGUGAAAGCAACUCCAAAGCCUGCAUUCUUAAUCUCUACAGGGAUUACUAGCUUUAUUUAUUAUAAUCAGAAAAAAUGUUCAGAUUUGGACUUUCCACCAGUUUCUACAAAAGCCGUUUCUUUUGAAGAAAAUGCUGGGGUAACAUAUUACUUGAUCCUUCAGCUAUCUUAGCAUGUGAAUGCUUGGGCUUUUUUUUCCCUUUUCUUAUUUUCUUAGUAAAUCUUGGAGCCUUUGAACUUUGAAUAAUUUCUUUUCUCUUUCUCCCAGUGCCCUCUAGUUAUACAAACACACACAAAAAAAUCAUUACAGAAGCAGUAUUUAUAUCUAUACGUCUAUGACUUUUUUAUUUGGUAUUUACAGUACUGAGUGAAUGAACUAAUUUAGUUCAUUUUGCUUCUUAGGAAAAAAGAUGUGUAAUGAAAGGAGGUCCCUUUUAGUCUACUCUUGCAAGGUUUCGUAAAGAGUAGAUAAAGGAGAAACAGAGAGAAGGAAACCUUCCUUAUAAACAUAAGAAAAUAUAUUGGUCUGUACCCUAAACAAUUUUUUCUACAUCUGCAGUUAAAAACAUACUAAUUAUGUUCCAGAAAAGGGGAUGUUUUGCUGAGCAACCUUAUAAAUUAAAACAAACCUGUCUAUACCAGUAUUUGCAGUCUCACCUAGUUCAGGUUCUGAACUUGUUUCCCAACAGUUUUUUCCAGUCUGAGAACAUGCCUAGGACAGUGGAUUAAGGCUCUAGGCUGAGACCUCCAUUGGUUGCCUUCCCAGCAGAAUCAGAAAUGACAUUUCCAGAGCAGAGGAGACAUAAAAGUAUCAUGUACUCAAUUGGGAGGGAAGGUUUCCUUGUUUGAGGAUAGGGUUGAGUGGAAUAGCAGGAAAGAGAAAUGACCAGGUAUGGAGAAAUGACCAGGUAUGGAGAAUCAAUGGCCCCUCUGAGAUACUAGAAGCUUUACUAGAGAAGCCAGGUAAAGAAGUCUCCUGUUCUUGUCAAAAGCCCCUUAUCCAUGUUUUACCACCUAGACUUUGACAUGAAAGAGAAUCAAGGCACAGUUUGGCUUGCUCUUGUAAGGUUUUGGUUCAGAGUAAUUCACUUCUAAAAGGAGAAAGGGAACUGGGCAUGGUGGCUCAUGCCUGUAAUCCCAGCGCUUUGGGAGGCUGAGGCAGGAGAAUUAUUUGAGGCCAGAAGUUUGAGACCAGCCUGGGCAAAAUAGUGAGACUCUGUUCCUACAGAAAAUAAAAAAUUAGCUGGGCAUGGUGGCUAAUCCCAGCUACUUGGGAGGCUGGGGUGGGAGGAUUGCUUCCGCCCAGGAGUUCGAGGCUGCAGUGAGCCGUGAUCACGGUACUGCACUCCAGCCUGGAUGUCAGAAGAGCAAGAACCUAUCUCUAAAGAGAUACAUACAUACAUAUAUACAUACAUAUAUACAUAAAAGGAGAAAGACAAAGCAACAGGAAGUUUCUGCAGAAUAAUUUCAUAAUAAAUGGACCAUGUGUUAGAAAGUUGCUUUGCACACAGGAGCUCCUUCUCUCAUAAAUAUUUCUUAACAAACAAUAUUUUUAAAAAUUGACUUUUUAAAACAGAGAAAACAGAUGAUUCGGAUAUUUCUUGUCUCAAGAGGGAACAGUUUUGGGAUCACAGAGAUGUAAAUCUCAGUAGGAUUUGUAAGAAAGAAGUUUUCUGGCUUUCUGGGAUGGUCAAUAUGUAUCCAAGAUGGCCUAGUGAUGAUGCUGAUAGAACUCUGAAAUAGCCCAGCGGGGGACCACACUGAGGUCCUCCCUGCCCACUUCAGCAGUUCUAGGAUGUCAUUUUGUGUCUCUGGAUUUAGGCUCCCUCCCUUAGGCCCCCAGGCUUCGGGCAGUAAGCUGUAUAAAUUGGAGCUGUAGGAUGCAGGGGUCUGAUGCUUGAAUGCAGUCUUCUUCAGCCUUGAAGUGUUCCGAAGCUCAUUUCUAAGUCAGUUUUCCCUUUUAAUUCAGGACAUAUUUUCCCAUGGAAAAGAAACUACAGAUGGUGUUUAGAGUUCCAGGUUUUUCCAUCAAGGCUUAUUUCCCCCAUAAUAUUGCUGGAAAACAUGUAUUUGCAAUGAAGAGUGGAAAAUAAUACUGGUAUCAUGGUAGUGAGUAACCAAUGUUAACAUAACUCAAGAAGAUAGUUUUAAAAAUUAAUUUUAAAUGCCAGUACCUCAUAAAAUGCAAGAAUAAUUAGAGAAAGAGUAGUAGAUUGAUGGAGACUUUGGGGUCUACAAAUGAAUUAUCUGUCUUUUUGAAGAUUAAUGACACUGAUUCUUUAUUAUGUCUGAUAUCACUUGAAAGAUUAACUCAUUCCAAAAAAUAAUAUUUCUUGAGUAUCUAAAAUCCACUAGACAAUACUAUAGCAGAGAUGAAAGACCUAGGGCCUACUCUGAAGGAGACCAUUGAAUGGCUGCCUUGAGAGACGCUAUUUUAUACCUGGUUUUCAGAGGGACUUAUGCAUACUCCCGAGAUACACUGUAGCGUGCCUGGCAGUUCAGGAAGCCACAGGAUAAAUAUAGAAGGAUCUUCCUGGACCACUAGCUUUACUCAAUGAUUGAGGAGAGAUUAUUUUAUAUUACAUAACAUAGAUAAUAGUGCUAAUUUUAUAAGAAUGUUUAGGAUGAGGCAUGCAACUAUGAAAAAAAAAUUCAAAUGAUGAUAUAAAAGACUGUUUGGAGCCAUGCCUGACUUUAUCCCUCCCUAUCUCCACCACUGGCUCAGGUCCUUAUAGGGGUACUGGUUCACCCUCUUCCCUUGGAAGCACUACCAUCCACUAAAAGAUAGACAGGCACAACUAUCUUUCCUUUACAUAUAGGCUAUGGAAAGGGAGAUAUCUAAAUCACCCUGGGCAAUUUCAGGGAAGGCUUCCCCCAAAAAAGUGAUGCUUAAGGCUUCUAAACUGAAGAAAUAGCCAGGUAAAAUAGGUCAUAAAAGCAUUCAGAGGUUUUAGUGUACACAGACCUGUAGGUGUGUGAGAGAGCAUGAUGUGAUGAGAAAUUGCAAGCAAUUUUUUUGUAUGACUGGAACAUCUGGCUAGUGUGGGGAACUUCAGAGACACAUGCAUUAUCAUUCCAAGGUGCAAGAAAGGAGGUGGAGGGGAAAAAGAUAUUGAAUCCAAGAGUUCUCUGUUCCAGUCAACAGGUGGCAUUUUUGGCCCCGGGCAGCUUUGUGGUUAUCCACAGCAAAUGGCCUUGGGAAAUUUGAGAAAGCAGAUGGUGGUAUGAAGAUAGCCAAUUGUAGAUGGGAGACAUUUAAAAAUAGGUUUUUGUAACUACAGAAAGAGUUGUAAUCAUAUUUGCUACUUGUUAUUUCAUUCAGAGACUUUGAAUGAGAUAAGAUAAAAUAUAGUCCCUGCAAGCAACUUCACCGGAUGCUAAAGCUAAGAAAUUAGAGGACAAACUAUCAUCUUUCUCAUCAUGGAAAAACACCAUCUCUUCAUGCUGACCUGCCAACAUAUCCAAACAACAGUAUGGGAAAUUCUGCAUUGUAACUUCUUGACCUACCACAACUACCAGCACUUGUUAAUCCAUCACCUUUUAUGAUCCCAGAGGACAUUUACAGCCUUCUCCUGGGAAACAAAUAUUUGAACAAUAUGUCAUUGAUAAACAAUGCUUAGUAAUAAAUAUAUCAGUUGCAGGCAAUCAAGUUAAUUAGCAAAAAGUUCUAGUGUCAUUAAAGAAACCAAAAGUGAAGGUAACAGGCUUUACCUACCAUGCCCCUCCCUUUUUUCAAGACACAGGACACUAUUGGCUCUGUCCCUUGUCCAAGUGACACCACUUCUCAGUUCACAGUCUUGUAUUUUGAUUGAGGCCAUUUCUUCUGAUCAGUUUUUACACCUUCAGAUCAGAACUAAAUUCCUUCUACUUUGGACGAACUAAACAGAGAUUGUAGCACAGGCCAUAGCACAUCUUUUAACCCUUAACCUCAUUGAGAGCUCCCACUUUCCCCAAGGCACUGUAUGAUAACCUAAAAACAUCACUCCCAUGUUUAGUUUGGGAUCAUUAUUUUUAAAUCCCUGCAGACAGUAUAACCUACUGGGAAAAAAAAAGAAAGAAAGAAAGAAAGAAAAACACACACAAAACAUAGGUUUUGGAGCCAGAGAGAACUGAGUCUAAAUUCUGGCUCUGCAACAACUAAGCUGUAAUCUUGGGCAAGUUGUUAUGUAAAUAUUCUAAGCCUCAUUUUCUUCAUCUAUGGAAGGAGAAGAAUAACUGUACCUGCAUCAGAGGAUUGUGAUGAGGAUAAGCUAUGACCAAGCAAUUAGCAUAAUCCUCCUGAGCACAUGAGUCAUUAAAUUACUUUUAACAUUACCAUCCUGGUUUCCCCCAACCACUGCAUGUGACAAUCUCCUCAGUCCCUAACAUCAAUGGACAAGCCCCUCUCAAACACAUUAUAUCCAUCACUUAUGAGGCAAAAAUACUGCCAUAUUAACUACUAAACUUAAAAAAGAAAUGUUUCAUUGCUUAUUUCCAGAAACACCUUUCCUUUGUGACUUGAAUGAAAUCACUGGAAGAUAAACAGAUUAGAAGAAAAUCAAAAUAACCGGAGUGAAUAUUUUUUGAAAUUGCUAAAAUAAGUUGCUAAAAACAAAGACCCCUGGAGAAAUUAUAGCAUAAGCUAUUGGUUUUAUAUUUACAUCUUCACUCGAAUAUCCACCCACUACUGAAAUUGUAAAUCAGUGUAUAAGAUGUUAUAUUGGGAAAUGGAGCGGGGUUAAAAAAAAUCUUUUGAUACUUGGUUGGGUCUGCUUUCAUCUUGCCAGAAGCGAACUAAUAUUAACCAAAGUAUGCCAAAAUAUAAAAGAUGACAGUCUCAGAAAGAACGGGAUAAGAUCAGAGAAAAAGGGGUCAGGAAAAAGGGGUUUAAUUACCUGUGGUAAUAGCAUCAUGUCCCUACGAAGGUUCUUUUCACAUACUUCCAAUACCACCUCCUAAUUGCAAUGAUAAUAACAGUAGCAAUGACAACAACUACAACCACUUAUUCAGUCCUUAUGUCCCAAGCAGUGUGCCAUGUGCACUAUUUUAAUUAUGCCAUUAAAUCUUCACAACAAGCCUAUGAGAUUUUAUAGAAGAAACCAAAACUUAGAAAGAUAUACCCUAGGUCGAGCGUGGCGGCUCACGCCUGUAAUCCCAGCACUUUGGGAAGCCGAGGAGGGCGGAUCACGAGGUCAGGAGAUCGAGACCAUCCUGGCUAACAUGGUGAAACUCCUUCUCUACCAAAAAUACAAAAAAAUUAGCCAGGCCUGGUGGCCUGCGCCUGUAAUCCUAGCUACUCGGGAAGCUGAGGCAGGAGAAUCGCUUGAACCCAGGAGGCGGAGGUUGCAGUGAGCCGAUAUUGUGCCAUUGCACUCCAGCCUCAGUGACAGAGCAAGACUCCAACAACAACAACAACAACAACAAAAAGAUAUACCCUAAAAUGUUUCUCUGGCUAAUACAUUUCUACCAAUUCAUCAAAGCCUAGCUCAAAUCUCACUUCCUUAGAAGCUUCCUUCCCUUUCCCUUGUCACCUCCUCCAUCCCACAUCCAGUUUUUCUUUCUCCAAUCAUUUUGAAGUUUGUUUUUUUCUUUUCUUUUUUUUUUUUUAAAUAGACACACUUGGGAAUAUAAUCACACAUGGAUAUUUGGUUCUACUGUUCUUUCACAGAAUGCUGAAUGGGUUGGGUCUCUAAAUGCAGCUGUGACACUUUAAAGAUAGAGAGGUUCUCAGCUUUGCCCCAAAUAUAGAGCAGGAUGUAGGGCAGAUUCUAUACCUACAGAAUCUAAUCUAAGCCUAGAUAUCUAUUAAAUGCAAGAAAUUGGAUUUUUGCCCUUUACCAAGUUUCCAAAUUCAUAGUUAUUUUCAGCGUGAUAUGUUGGACCAAGGGGAGAGAAAUGUCGUUGUCCUACAGAGGGCUCCAGCCACAAGAAUGUUGUGGAACAGGAAAGGAAGUUAUUUUUUAUCAUUGAACUCAAAAGCUUCUUUUCUCAUAUGAAUCAAGGGUGUAUCUUAUCUCCCAGAUAUUUCUUCUGAGUCCAUCAGUGGCUGGGCCUGCCACCCUCCUAUAAAAGGAGAGUAGACAAAGAGAAGCAGAAUGUGAUUUGGCAGCAAAGGACAUUUUUCCCUGGCAGAAAAUGGAGUGACUUUUAGCUUAUCUGUUGUCACCUUGUUAAUGUGGUCAUUGUUCUUCAAAAUAAAAUCUCCUCUUCUUACCCAUGAUGUCUUUUGUGUAAAAAAAUAAAAUAAAAUAAAAUAAAAAAGAAGCAACUAGAAACUCAGUGGAGAGAGGGAAAGGGCAAAAAUAAAAGCCUAAUCAAAAGAAGCAACAGAUCAACUCUUUCUUAGGGAAAAACACUCAACACACAAUUAUCUUAAUUCUCCCAAGUGGUUAUUUUGCUUGCUUUCUGAGACAGGUGUGGAAAGCACUAGAAACCCAUGGCCCCUGUCAUCACCCCUGGUUUUCAAAGCAGGGACUAUGGGCCUGUAUUAGUUGGGAUGCAGAAUUUAUCAUCCAUUUAAGCCAACGGCUAUGUGGCUGUUGAUGUGUGCCCCUGGCCUGUUCUCAAACACAUCCUUAUUCGAAAAUUAAUCAUCCAGCUCUUACUUGCCUGUGAAUGUUUCCAGGGAUAAAAACUUAGAUGGAAGAGGGAGCUUAGCUGUUAAUGGCCAAAUGUCAUCCAUGGCAAGCAUUAACACAAAGACAAGGUGGUGAGAGAAGAGUGAUUUACUCUAUCUUGAAGAAUAAAUGAAAACUUCCUCCUCACUCAAUUGCAAAGGUGGGAUCAAGAAAGGAGCAAAGACAACAUUCCUGGGAGGCCUCAGUUCCUUGAAGCUGAGGAAGCAUUUGCAUCUUUCCUCUUAUUGGAGCUUGACAUUUGGCCUCUGGAUGCUGAAGAACCAGUUCUGUGUUUCAGUUGUGAAUGGAUAUGGCUGAGAUUAAUUCCCUUCUGUAUGUCCUUUCUGCCAUUUCAGGAGCCGGGGGUGCAGCUACAUUCAAGAUCAAUGAGUUAUAGCCACAUGCAAGGCCAUGAAAAGUAAUACCCUUCAGGAGAGUGGAGUUUCCGGUAUUCUUGCUGAGCCAAAAAGACUAGGAGAGAAAGAGCCAUGCUACCCACCAAAGUAUUCAGAAGUACAGGGUGGGCUUCAGAGAAAACUAGAAGAUUCUGCUUUGAACACAGAUAAGUAACUUCCACUUCAGUUUACCUCUAUAUACAGUGGAGUUCUGCAGGAUGGAGAGAGUGUGGAUAGCAGAUUACAGUUGCUUAUAGCUUCCUGCAGCCUUAUCUCUUCCUAAACCUUACCAUCUCCUCCAUCACCUCCUAUGCCCCUCAGACUCAGAGAAGGCAAGAAUCAACCAAAGGCAAAUAGGUAUUUUUAAAAACUUACCGAAAACUUGAUACAUCUUAACCUAUUUAUCCUGACAAAGUCAGUUCAAAAGUCCUCUCCUCCAUCAGCCUCACUUGGCUUCCCAUGCCACUCCACAAGAAAGAGUUGGUUCCUCCUUCCUGUGGAUGGGCCUAAAGGCACUGUGUUUAGCCUUUCUGAUGUUCAUGGGUCAGUAUUCUCCUGAUGCUAUGGUUUGAAUGUUUGUCCCCUCAGAAACUCAUGUUGAAACAUAAUCUCCAAUUUAACAGUAUUAAGAGAUGGGGUCUUUAAGAAGUGAUUGGGUUAUGAGGGCUCUUUCCAUAACCCAAUGGAUAAACAGAUUAAUGAAUUAACAGAUUAAUGGGUUAAUGGAUUAAAUGGAUUAAUAGAUUAAUGGGUUAAUGGAUUAAAUGGGUUAUCACAUGAAUGGGGUGGUUAUCACAAGAGUAGAUAUGUUAUAAGAGCCAGUUUGGCUCUCGGUGCAACCCCCCUAUUACCCUGGGAUGCCUUCCACAAUGUUAUGACACAGCAUGAAGCCCUCACCAGAAGCCAACCAGAUGCAACCACUUGAUCUUGGACUUCUCAGCCUCUAGAACUGAUGAAGGUAAGAUACUGAAGAAUUCCAAGAAGACUGGAGGGGGCAGUGCUGGAGGAGAAGAAAGCAACAUAGGGCCUGGUGCAAGCCCAUGCAGGAUGGGGCCCCUUCCCAGAAGUCCUGAGCUAGAGCCCCGGAAUCCUGCCCUGGAAUCUCUACUGGAGCUACCCUCUGGCCCUUCUUUAAGACGUUCAAAUGUCGGAGCAGAAGAGGAGAAGGAAGAAAGGGUUGUCCUCUUUGUCUUGGGUAGUUUGAUGCCUCAGAAGGAGAGCAAAGGCGAAAACGUUGGCCAGCCAGUAUGAACAAUGCAAGGUCCUCAAAGCUUAGGAGCCACUGACCCUAAAUGUCAAAGUCAGCCUUGAGUGAGGGUCAAGUGCAGAUUCCCCUCCUCACAGCUGUUCCUGUGAAAGGGCUCACUUUCAUUGGGAAACAUAGUUAUCUUCUCUCCCAGAAUAGGAAGUGGCUACAGCACAAGCCCCUCUUCGUUAGACCCAGCCUCCCCCUCCCCUUUGUCUUGCCAAGAAAUGCUGCAAACCCCAAAUACCUGCAUUCUUGGGCAUGCAGCAGGCCAGAGCCAUGCUUGGAUUCCCGCUCUGCUCCUUAAGGAAGGGCCUUUUCUUUUAUGCAAAGACGUCUCUGAAUGCCAGAGAGCUGAAAGCUGAUCUGCUUAAGUCAGCAAGCACGGCGGGGGGGAUGGAGGGCGAGAGAGGGCAACCUUCUGCAAGGAGGAUGGCAGAUUUUCACAGAACCUCUGUGCUGCAUCUAGGACUCCCCCCUGGAGGGGGAGAUGGUCUCACCCAAGUGCUAGGCUGGCUGCUAAUCCCUCCAGGGUUCACUUGAAUGGCAAAUCAGGACUCCAGGGCAGCCUGGACACACCCUGUCUCCAGAGGAGGGGCUUAGCACUUUCCUUUUUCAUCCCUGGAGCAGUUUAGGUUGCAGUGGGACUUCUUUACAGCCUUGCUACUCCAAUUGCAGUUGGCCAGGGGGUUAGGAGCAUAGGCAUCAACCUGGGAGCUUGUUAGAAUGCAGAGUCUCGGGCCACACCAGUUUAAGAAGCUCUGCCAAGUGCCAUGUGGCUAUCGAAACCAUUAGCACACUGCCAGAGACAGGAAGCUGGACAAAUAAAUCCAGGGAGCCACAGCAGCCCAGCCCCUACACCAACUGCCUGAUCAGGAGAAGGAAUACAUUUCAUCCCAUCACUCCAUAGCUGCCCCAGGUUGCCACCCAUUCUUCUCACCAGGAUGGGGCUGGCUUACUUGGCUGUGAAAUUUUAGGUUGGUGUGAGGGUGCGCUAUUCAACAGGUUUGCAAAUAUUUGCGCACACACCGAAAGGACAAGAAUGGUGCAGGUGGAGGCGAUACAACUGGAGUUUGCUCUUUGCAGGUUACAAAUCAAUUUCUGAUCCCUUCCCACCCACCCGCCCUCAACACACACCACCUGUAUCAACAUGUUAGACUCUCGUGAUGCUGAUAACAGCAGUAAUAGCGCAUAGCAAGAAUACUCAAACCACUUCACAAACAGCAACCAUCCUGGACCCUGUUCAGAUCUUCCUCUUGGCAAGAAAGGGAGAGUUUAGGUACUUCCACAUCUUUGCCCUAAUAGCCUUAUGUUGUCAUGGCACAUGAUUUGCCUCCCACCUGAGCCCAGCAAGUGAAUCUGUGUGCAGAAGCUGAAAGGGAAGAGAGAAGGAAAGAAGAUAAACUAAUGAAGAGUGGGAGACGAGCUUUUCCUCUGCAGUCCAGAGAGAAGAUUAAAAGGACUACUAGUGAGGCAGAUAGACUUGCUUUUUUCUCAUCUGCCAGAUUUGUGCUGAUGGCUGUGACUCCCUGUAUUGGAUACUUCUGCUCCUUAAUCAUGCGCAGCAAGAACCAGAAUGGGCGACUUCAUUUCCGAAGAGGAACUGAACGGCGCUGAGGCUCUGGGAUGCAUUAAGACAGCCCAGAUCAACAGAAAGUCUGGCUGGAACCUCAGAGAAAUGACCCAGACAGAAUCUUCAGCCUCCCAAGCAUCUGUCAGUGGCAUCAGUGGCUGGCAUGGCUGAUUGCACUGAUCCCCUCCCUUUAGCAGAGAGUCAGGCUCCUGAUUGAGGGAAGAAAGCAAAGGGCUGGAGAAAAGGAGGGAAGGUCAGCCAGAGAUGAAGACAGAAGAGAGAGAAAGCAAAGAGGGUGGCCCUGGGCUUUACAGGGAUUUGUGUGGGUUCUUAAAAGCAAUCAUGGUGGCCUUUUGAGUAGAAAACCAAGCUAAGCUAGUAUUUAAAAAUCUUCUUCAGGGCCCCAAUCUUGCCUCAAACAACAAUCACUCAUAAAAAGACUGUCGCGAAUGAAAGGAAAUGCUGCCAUUGUUUUAUUUUUUCUGGGAAGUCAUAAUAGGUUUUAAAAGGUUAAUCUCCCUCUCAGCCCUGUUUUUUCCCUUCCAGUGACCCCAAGCUGAAAAGGAAAAAUAUUUGCACUUGGUGUUUAAAAACCACCACAGUGAAUUAGCUUUUGUUGUUCAUGGCAAAGCCACUAUUUAGCUGCCCAGAAUCAAACCAGAUGUGAGGGAAGAAAGAAGGCCCUGCAUCCUGUGAACUUGCCUUUCACCUUUGCAGAAGGGCUGAGGGGAAAGCUGGGCUGAGAUGGCAAAAUAAAAGGAGUUUGGUGCUCAACAAACCUGAUGUGCACUUUUGAUGCAAGCACUGGUUAGCUCUUGCUGGGGUGCUGUCCGUAGGUCUAGAAUGUAACAGCUCUAGGACCCUGGAUGCACAAUGCCUCCUGAUUUCCAGAAGUUUUCUUCUGUGGACACUAGGCCAGCAGCCCUAUUCCCAUAGGUAGCAAAGAUCAGAGAUGGAGAAGAGAAUUAGAAGACAGAAAUAAAACACAAAAAGAGAUCAGCAGGACUUGUUGGAACAUGAAAUCUAUCAGUGAAGGUGAAAAAAAGAAACUGAAAGGAAGAGGAUAUAUUUUCUUUCUGAGGCCUUCCGGAAGAGUAUGAGGAGUAGAUUAUUACUCAUUCUUGUUUUGCUUUAGGACACCACUCACCAACACUCACAGUUUAAAUUGGGCAACGCCCCCGCUAAAAAAAAAAACAAAAACCCUUCCUAUGGGUCUCAGGCUGUUUAUUACUGUUUCCUAAAUCUACAGCAUAAGUAAGCAGGAAGUUCUCUCUACAUCAAAACACUUUUUAUCCACUCAACAAACAUUUAAUAAGCCCUGACUUUGAUCAAGUAUUUGAGUGAUACCAGAAGGCUUUGGAUACUAUUCCUGCCCAGAAGUUUACAGCCUAAUAAGGAAUAGCAUUUCUCAUUAGGGGAAUAUAAUAAUACAGUACAAUAGUAUAACAAUAAUAGCAACAACAAUAAUAAUACUAAAAGGCAUCAUUUUUCAAAAUCUAAUGAUAUGCCAGUAAUUGCACUUUAUAUACAGUAACAUCUUUAAUCUUUACAAUAACUCUGCACAGUAAUUUUUAUUAUUUCCAUUUUACACAUGUAGAACUGAGGCUCAGAGAACUUGACCAAGGUCACAGAACUAUUAAGCUAGCCGGGGUCUUCGUUUUUUUUUGUUUUUGUUUUUUUUAAUCACUGAUGAAGCCCAAGUGCCUAGAACGGUGCCUGGCACAUAAUAGGUGCUCAAUAAAUAUUUACUAGAAAGCAGUUGUGGGUGCAAGGGAGGGCUUUCUGGGGCAUUGGAGCUGAACUUUGAAGAAUGGCUAGGAUCUAUGCAAAGGUGGUAAAAGGCACACCAAGAAGAAAGCAGGAAAUGAACAAAUGUUUUUCUAAAAAAAAAAAACUGUUUUACAAAAUCGGAAAAAAAAAUGGACAGGAUGAAAUAGCAGUCAGGAGAGGGAUGAUCAUAGAGAAUUGCGUCCUACUGUGACUGCCACCUAUAAAGUGUGUGAACUUCACCAACUCA